rnacentral:rRNA from 1 species
GAUGAACGCUAGCGACUGGCUUAACACAUGCAAGUCGAGGGGCAGCAUAGAAGUAGCAAUACUUUGGUGGCGACCGGCGCACGGGUGAGUAACGCGUAUGCAACCUACCUAUCAGAGGGGAAUAACCCGGCGAAAGUCGGACUAACACCGCAUAAAACAGGGGCACCGCAUGGUGAUAUUUGUUAAAGAAAUUCGCUGAUAGAUGGGCAUGCGUUCCAUUAGGUAGUUGGUGAGGUAACGGCUCACCAAGCCGACGAUGGAUAGGGGAACUGAGAGGUUGGUCCCCCACACUGGUACUGAGACACGGACCAGACUCCUACGGGAGGCAGCAGUGAGGAAUAUUGGUCAAUGGGCGAGAGCCUGAACCAGCCAAGUCGCGUGAAGGAAGAAGGAUCUAUGGUUCGUAAACUUCUUUUGCAGGGGAAUAAAGUGCAGGACGUGUCCUGUUUUGUAUGUACCCUGAGAAUAAGGAUCGGCUAACUCCGUGCCAGCAGCCGCCGUAA